CCUACGGGUGGCAGCAGUCGAGAAUCAUUCACAAUGGGGGAAACCCUGAUGGUGCGACGCCGCGUGGGGGAAUGAAGGUCUUCGGAUUGUAAACCCCUGUCAUGUGGGAGCAAAUUAAAAAGAUAGUACCACAAGAGGAAGAGACGGCUAACUCUGUGCCAGCAGCCGCGGUCAUCCAGAGGUCUCAAGCGUUGUUCGGAAUCACUGGGCGUAAGGCGUGCGUAGGCUGUUUCGUAAGUCGUGUGUGAAAGGCGCGGGCUCAACCCGCGGACGGCACAUGAUACUGCGAGACUAGAGUAAUGGAGGGGGAACCGGAAUUCUCGGUGUAGCAGUGAAAUGCGUAGAUAUCGAGAGGAACACUCGUGGCGAAGGCGGGUUCCUGGACAUUAACUGACGCUGAGGCACGAAGGCCAGGGGAGCGAAAGGGAUUAGAUACCCGAGUAGUC
rnacentral:rRNA from 1 species